AGGAUGAACGCUGGCGGCGUGCCUAACACAUGCAAGUCGAACGUCCUGUCUCGCAAGAGGCAGGGAGUGGCGGACGGGUGAGUACCACGUGGGUCAUCUACCGUGAGGUGAGGAAUACCGGCGAGAAAUCGCCGACAAGACCGCAUAGGCUCGAUGCAAGUCGAGCAAAGCUCUUUCGAGAGAGGGAGCGCCACACGAGGAGCCUGCGCCCGAUUAGCUAGCUGGUGGAGUAACGGUUCACCAGGGCGACGAUCGGUAGCUGGUCUGAGAGGACGAUCAGCCACACUGGGAUUGAGAACGGCCCAGACUCCUACGGGGGGCAGCAGUGAGGAAUUUCGUCAAUGGGGGCAACCCUGAACGAGCAACGCCGCGUGCAGGAGAAGGUUUCGGAUCGUAAACUGCUUUUCUCGGGAAGAGAACGGACGGUACCCGAGGAAUCAGCCCCGGCUAACUACGUGCCAGCAGCCGC
rnacentral:rRNA from 1 species